CCUACGGGUGGCAGCAGUCGAGAAUCAUUCACAAUGGGGGAAACCCUGAUGGUGCGACGCCGCGUGGGUGAAUGAAGGUCUUCGGAUUGUAAACCCCUGUCAUGUGGGAGCAAAUUAAAAAGAUAGUACCACAAGAGGAAGAGACGGCUAACUCUGUGCCAGCAGCCGCGGUAAUACAGAGGUCUCAAGCGUUGUUCGGAAUCACGGGGCGUAAAGCGUGCGUAGGCUGUUUCGUAAGUCGUGUGUGAAAGGCGCGGGCUCAACCCGCGGACGGCACAUGAUACUGCGAGACUAGAGUGAUGGAGGGGGAACCGGAAUUCUCGGUGGAGCAGUGAAAUGCGUAGAUAUCGAGAGGAACACUCGUGGCGAAGGCGAGUUCCUGGACAUUAACUGACGCUGAGGCACGAAGGCCAGGGGAGCGAAAGGGAUUAGAUACCCCAGUAGUC
rnacentral:rRNA from 1 species